UACGAAGGGGGCUAGCGUUGCUCGGAAUCACUGGGCGUAAAGGGCGCGUAGGCGGCCAUUCAAGUCGGGGGUGAAAGCCUGUGGCUCAACCACAGAAUUGCCUUCGAUACCUGUUUGGCUUGAGUUUGGUAGAGGUUGGUGGAACUGCGAGUGUAGAGGUGAAAUUCGUAGAUAUUCGCAAGAACACCAGUGGCGAAGGCGGCCAACUGGACCAACACUGACGCGUGAGGCGGCGAAAGCGUGGGGAGCAACAGGAUAGAAA
rnacentral:rRNA from 1 species